UACAGAGACUGCAAGCGUUAUUCGGAUUCACUGGCGUAAAGGGUGCGUAGGCGGUCGGGUAAGUCUGAUGUGAAAUCUCACAGCUUAACUGUGAAACUGCAUUGGAUACUAUUCGGCUUGAGAGUUGGAGGGGGACUGGGAAUUCUUGGAUGUAGCAGUGAAAUGCGUAGAUAUCAAGAGGAACACCAGUGGCGAAGGCGAGUCCCUGGACAACUUCUGACGCUGAGGCACGAAAGCUAGGGGAGCAAACAGG
rnacentral:rRNA from 1 species